rnacentral:rRNA from 1 species
AGACAGUUCGGUCCCUAUCUGCCGUGGGCGCUGGAGAACUGAGGGGGGCUGCUCCUAGUACGAGAGGACCGGAGUGGACGCAUCACUGGUGUUCGGGUUGUCAUGCCAAUGGCACUGCCCGGUAGCUAAAUGCGGAAGAGAUAAGUGCUGAAAGCAUCUAAGCACGAAACUUGCCCCGAGAUGAGUUCUCCCUGAGACUUWAAGUCUCCUGAAGGAACGUUGAAGACGACGACGUUGAUAGGCCGGGUGUGUAAGCGCAGCGAUGCGUUGAGCUAACCGGUACUAAUGAACCGUGAGGCUUAACCUUACAACGCCGAAG